rnacentral:lncRNA from 1 species
UGCUCUUGUCUUGAUGCUGGUGUUGAACAGGCACCCUAGCCUUGCCUGACCUACGUGUAUAGGUGACGGGUGGUUGGCUGACCUGGACUCCCAGAAGAGCCUGGUGUUUCCUGACUUCUUUCUUUUUCCCCAGCUCUGCUUUGCUUGCACAGACGCUUCCAGAGUGGAGGAAAGAAUGGCUGUUGAAAAUCCACAAGGCUCCUGCAAGACUGUGAAUCAAGGUUGAGACCAAGAAAUUAUUUCUGAAAAAGGAUAUUUAUGGAGUAG